rnacentral:rRNA from 1 species
UUGGAGGGCAAGUCUGGUGCCAGCAGCCGCGGUAAUUCCAGCUCCAAUAGCGUAUAUUAAAGUUGUUGCAGUUAAAAAGCUCGUAGUUGAAUUUCGGGGUCAGCAAGUUGGUCGUGCCACUGGUAUGCACUGGCUUUGCUGAUUCCUCCUUCUUGUAGAACCGUAAUGCCAUUAAGUUGGUGUUGCGGGGAAACAGGACUGUUACUUUGAAAAAAUUAGAGUGUUUAAAGCAGGCUAACGCUUGAAUACAUUAGCAUGGAAUAAUGAAAUAGGACGACGAUCCUAUUUUGUUGGUUUCUAGGAUUGACGUAAUGAUUAAUAGGGAUAGUUGGGGGCAUUAGUAUUCAAUUGUCAGAGGUGAAAUUCUUGGAUUUAUUGAAGACUAACUACUGCGAAAGCAUUUGCCAAGGAUGUUUUCAUUAAUCAAGAACGAAAGUUAGGGGAUCGAAGACGAUCAGAUACCGUCGUAGUCUUAACCAUAAACUAUGCCGACUAGGGAUCGGAUGAUGUUAAUUUUUUAAUGACUCAUUCGGCGCCUUACGGGAAAC